rnacentral:lncRNA from 1 species
GUGACACACCUCCUCCCACAAGGACACACCUCCAAAUCCUUCCCAAACAGUUCAUCAGUUGGGGACUAAGCAUGCAAAUAUGAGCCUACAGGGCCAUUCUCAAUCAAACCACCAUUUUGUGUCUUUGUGUUUAUCUUUGUGUCUGUUUAUCCAGGAAAACUUGUUCUGCAGCUGCUCAGGAGACAUCAGACAGACACAGGGAGAGUCUCCUGAGGGGAGAAACAUGGGAGGAAGUCCAGCUCACUCAUAGCUCUCUGCUUUGCCCCAAAUGGCCCAUCAGUAUAUGUUGAUUGGAACACUAGAGCUAGAACCCAGGGUCUCAUGCAUACUAGGUAUAUACCCUGAGCUAACCCUUCCUGAAGGGCUUAAUUUUUAAUUUCCUCCCUGCAGGUUUCAUCACUUCAUCUACCCCAAUGAAGACCCCAACUGGGGAACAUGUAGUCUUGAGAAGGAUCAACAAUGUCCAUGUAAAUCCCAAGUUGUAUUGUGCUUUUUAUAAAGUGGAGGGCAAGAAGGGAGAUAAUCUACUCAGAUGUCGGUCUUCUACCUGCUUACAGCACUGAUAAAAGUUGGGCUUAAAGGGAAAUAAACAUGUCAGGAUCCAUUGUGUGCCCUUAUUUCCCUCACACACAGCCCAACUUCCUUCCUUUUACCCUCUGGUUCCUACAGGUGAAAAUGGACAAGAGCCUGGAGUAUCAACCAGUAGAAUGUGCUGUAGUGAUCAAUGCUGCAGGAGCCUGGUCUGGGAAAAUUGCAGAGCUGGCUGGUGUUGGGAAGGGACUUCCUGGCACCCUCCAGGGCACCAAGCUACCUGUGGAGCCAAGG